AUGGGGACAUCGGGGACCCCAUGGAGAACUUUGGGGACCCCAGGGGGGACAUUGGGGACCCUACAGAGAACCCUUGGAGAACGUUGGGGACCCCAAAAAGAACCCCAUGGGGACCCCAGGGACAGGGGAGGGUGGGAGGGGGCACCCAUGGGUGCUGAGGGGACACCGAGGGGACCUGGGGACACCCAAGGGACAGCGAGGAGGGACUCAAGGGUGCCUGGGGACACCCAAGGGUGCUUGGGGACACCCAAGGGUGCCUGGGGAACUGCCCAAGGGGACACCAAGGGGACCUGGGGACACCCAAGGGACAUCGAGGAGGGACCUAAGGGUGCCUGGGGACACCCAAGGGUGCCUGGGGACACCAAGGAACCACCCAAGGGGACACCAAGGAGGGACCCAAGGGUGCCUGGGGACACCCAAGGGUGCUUAGGGACACAGAGGAACCGCCCAAGGGGACACCAAGGACAUCAAGGAGGGACCCAGGGGACACCGAGGGGACACCCAAGGGACCUGUGGCCACCCAAGGGGGACACAGGAGCACCCAAGGGACCUGGGGCCACCAAGGAGGGACCUGGGGGACAUCAAGGAAGCACCCAAGGGAGCUGGGGACACCCAAGGGACACCCAAAGGGGACAGGGGCCACCCAAGGGACACCAAGGAAGCACCCAAGGGACACCCAAGGGACACCAAGGAGGGACCCAGGGGACACCCAAGGGACACGCAAAGGGGACAGGGGGCACCCAAGGGACACCCAAGGGGACUUGGGGGCACCCAAGGGACACCAAGGAACCACCCAAGGGGAUGUGGGGCCACCCAAAGGAGACAGGGGGCACCCAAGGGCGACGGGGAGCACCCAAGGGACACCCAAAGGGACUUGGGGACACCCAAGGGCCACCAAGGGACCACCCACAGAGGACAGGGGACACCCAAGGGACCUGAGGACACCCAAGGGGGACGGGGAGCACCCAAGGGCCACCCAAAGGGGACAGGGGGCACCCAAGGGUGAUGGGGGGCACCCAAGGGACACCCAAGGGGACACCCAAGGGACACCCAAGGGUGACGGGGGACACCCAAGGGGACACCCAAAGGGGACGGGGAGCACCCAAGGGACACCAAGGGACCACCCAAAGGGGACAGGGGCCACCCAAGGGACCUGGGGCCACCCAAGGGUGCGGGGCCACCCACCGGGUGUCCGAGCGCUGCGGGAGCCGGCGCCGAAAUGGCAGCGGGGAGGGGACGGGGAGGGGACAGGGGGACACGCCCGGGGGGGGGAGGGGACAGGGGAGGGGACACCCGGGGGCCACCCCCGCACCCAAGGGCGCUUCAAGGGCACCCCGCCCCCCGCCGGGCCCCGAAAUCUCCCUUUUUUCCCCCAAAAUCCGCAGGGUGCGCCCCUAAUCUGCGCUCUUUGCCCCCAAGAUUGUCUCCUCGAUACCAAAACCUCCUGUUUUUACCCCAAAUCUGCCUCCUUUUCGCCCCUAAUUGUCACUUUUCGCCCCCAAAACCAACCCCCCGCACCCAAAACCUGCGUUUUUUGCCCCAAAAAGGCGUCCCCGCACCCAAAAUCUGCGCUUUUGCCUCCAAUCUGCCCCCUUUUGCCCCAAAAUCGCACUUUUCGCCCUCACCGCCUACUUUUUUGCCCAAAAUUUGGGUUUUUCACAUUUAAACCACCUUCUUUUUGCCCAAAAUCUGCGUUUCUCGCCCCAAAUCUGCCCCUUUAACCCCAAAUCUGCGCGUUUUUGUCUCAGAUCUGCGCCCACACCCAAAAUCUGCGCUUUUCUCCCCGAAACCACCUCCUUUUGCCCUAAACCUGCCUUUUCCCCCUCAAAUCACCCCCUUUAACCAAAAACCCCGUAUUUCACCCCAAAUCCGUGUCUCUCCCUCUGUAAUCUCCCCCCACACCCAAAAUUUGGCCUUUUUGCCCCAAAAUCUUGGCUUUCCACCCCAACCCUUUCCCGCACCCCAAAUCUCCCCGCUUCACCCCAAAUCCCUCCCCGCACCCCAAACCUUCCCCUUUCGGCCCCAAAUUCCUCAUUUUUCCACCCAAAUCUCCACCUCCACCCCAACCCCCCUAAAAUCUGCUCUUUUCACCCCAAAACCUCACACCCCGCUUCCCAACCCCUUCCCCCCCCAAUUCCCCUCCUUUUCCCCCCAAACCUGACUCCUCCACCCCCAAACCCCCUGUUUUUCACCCCAAACCCCUCCUCGCCCCCAAAACGGCCGUUUUUCACCCCAAAACCUCUCCCUUCGCCCCAAAGCCUCAAAUUCCCCCCUCCCGCCCCCAAAAUCCCCACUUUUCUCCCCAAACCUCUCCCUCACCCCCCCACCACCCCCUCACCCCCAACUUCGCCCCCAAAUCCGCCCUUUUUGCCCCCAAAACCUCCUCCCCCCCCCCCCCCCUCCCCCCACCUGGGCUCGGGGAGCGGCCGGACGCGCGGGAACGAGGGGGCGGGGCCUGCCGCGCGGUGACGUCACGGGUGGGGGAGGACCGGGAAGGCGCGCUCUUAAAGGGGCAACGGCGCGCUGAGUCACGGGGGGGGGCCCACCGGGUCAUUUUGGGGCGGGGG
rnacentral:lncRNA from 1 species